rnacentral:lncRNA from 1 species
GGGAAGGCAUCUCUAUUAAGAGCGCUGCCGGCUGGUUAUCAGAGAAGAGGACCUGUUGUAGAAAAGCACAGAGCCCUGUGUACACAGUUGGCAGGCUUCUAAAUAUGCGGGCGGAUCAAACUCUGCUAGAGAUUCGAUUUUGGUUCAAAAACAUACGUUUUUGAGGACAAAGAAAACUCUUGGCUCUCCAACCUUAUUGUCUCCAUCUCUCUCGAAGAAUAAUAUUUAAAAACUAACUUGUCUUAAUUAGGGCAUUUAGAAUGACGGGACUAGCACUGAGUCACUUGGGAAUUCAUAACCCGACAUAUAAUCACUUUUGGAAUGGAGUGCAUUUAUGCCUUCAAAAAGUUGGCCUCAUUUUCUGAAGCUGAAAUCCUUUUGAUCAUAAUUACUUCUGACCUAAAAUUACCCACAGUCACCAUACAAUGCCACGCUGGGACAAAAAAGAAAUACACAUUGUAAGUAUCUGAUAACAGAUAUAAACUAUCGGCCAACUUAAAUAGUACCAUAAUUUAGACUACGAUGAAACUAUACAACUAUAUGUUUCUGAAUAUAACAUUUACUCAUUAUUAUUAUUAUUUAGGUGCAGUGGGUGGGGCCAUUGUCAUAAAUACUAAAAUAAGAGUGGUUAAAGUGUAUUGAAGUAUAAAUGAUAAAGAUCUGAUAACUUUCCAUACAAAUUAGAAUCAGAUGAAUGCAUGGAUGUAGUUAUUUCACCACCUGUUUUGAAGUCAAAUUUUGUAUGUAAAUGUCUUAAAACCAGAUUGCAUUCUUACCCAAAUACUCUUCGUGAUUGCCUGCUUUGCGGCUUUGGGAUUCUUCAGGGAGUAGAGAAUAUUCACAGGGUUAACAUCCCAGCCUUCUCAGCAUCCAUGAAGACUUUCUCCAGAUUGGUGAACAGGCCUAAUCCUGAAGACAGACUUUUUGGCCCCCUGCUAACUUUGAGAGAGAAGGCACCAGCUGUGUUCCCUGAUGGAGUGGGGAUGGCAGCUGCAAGCUGAAACACCAUGUUGUCUCAU